GACAGGCCGGCCCGCGGCACCCGGCAGUCACCGCGCGGCACGGCCGCCUGCGCUUGCGCACGCUGGCGUUAUUUCCGCUCCUUCCGUUUGGGCUCCCGCUGCCCAAUCCUAAGGCGCGACUUGUGGCCCCACCCUCGACUGAGGACUCCCUCAUUGGCUGGAGCGGCGCAGGCACGGACGACGAGUGGUCGCUUGCGCAGGCGCACGUUGCGCCUCAAGUUCUCGUCUUUCUUCGCGAUGCCGAGACCUGGGUUUUUGUUUUUGUUGUUGGGUUUUUUUUUUUUAAUUCCACUGAAGAGUUUUCUAGAGUUUUCACCGAGGGGUGAGAAAUCCAGGGUUCUGUCCAGUCUUCUCCAGCUCACCACCCUACUUUAGGAACUCAUAACCUGAUGAUAGACGCAGUUACAGUAACAAAGAAGCUUGCAAAGGAAACAGUGGAAAGGGGCAAGGUCACAUGAUGUGUUGCUGCUACAUUAAUGUUUGUGGCUGAAACACCCUACAGUGACUGCCUCAUGACUCACGCUCUGUAUAAUCCUCUCUCUUUGGGUGCAGAUGAGACCUGUGGCUUGCUUCUAAACAAACAGAAUAUGGCAAAGUCCUUACAGAGUGUAAAGGGGAUUAUGGACUUAACGGCUUAAAUGUAUUCAUCGUCACAACAGAGAGUAAGUGUAUUUAACCCAGCUGGCCAAGGAAUUAAUUUCUUCUGUUUAACAUCAUUUUUCUGCUCUUCCUUCUUCUCUGAUGUGAUUGCCAGGCUGUUAGUCAAAAGUAGAAAAAAAUCAUAGAAGUCCCGUUUGCAGUAUAAGACAAUUUCAGAAUUAUUGAUUUCCAAGUGUUCUAUUGACUCUCUAGGUCAGCAUUAUGAUUUAGUUUUUCUCAUUAUGGUAGAAACAGACCUGGUCUCUACAAAUCAACAGAAGCAGCAUCUCAGAAACCACACCUGAGACCCAAAGGACGCUAAAUGGCUUAGUGAAGGAAACCGGGGUAUGCCAUUUAGGACGCUGAUGGAUCUGUAACAUGUCUGUGGGAAGAGAGUGUCCAAGAUGGGAGGAGGAGAGCGAGAAGUUUGCCACAGCAGCUGUAAACAAAAAGAACAAAGAGUCUCCCUCAUUACUCAGUUCCAAAAAGCAUUAAGUUGCAACUCACUGCAGCUGCCCACAGUGUGCACUGAGGGGAAUUCAGGAUGAAGAAUAGGAUGAAGUAUUCUUGUUUUGAAUAUAUGGCCCCAAAGCAGUUAAAUGCAUAUUUAAGAAAGAAAUUCAGUGAUGCCAGAUUCUUGCAUAGAAAAGCACUAAAAUGAUUUUUGAGAUUCUCUGUUUGUGUUUGUCAUUAGCAGUAAUCUUUUUACCAAGAUAUAUGUUUAACUGCAAGUAUUUCCGAGGCAAAAAAUUCAUAUAGGCUCCUUCCCUGCAUCCCUACUUCUUUGCAGCAGUCCCCUCAGAGUUACUUACAUGCUGUUUCCUGGACUAUAGUUCCCAGUAAGGUCCAUGAAUAAAACUCAACUCACAGCUUCUACAUUGUUUUCCUUCCGGUCAACAGUUUUGGUGACCACGGAGUGUCCCACAGCUGACUGCUCUCCUUUGCCUAAACUCGGCAAGGAUCCAAACACUUGCUACCAGCCAGGCCCCUUGUCCCUGUCCAUCUCCUAAAUGAGCCUAGAUGAUACGGUUUACUAAAAAGUUAUCAAAUAUUAUCUCUUAUGAAAUUUAUUAGCAAGAAGAAUAGCUUGGGAUGAUGGCUAACUUGGUCUAAUGUUUCAUGAAGGAUUUCAUGCAUAAUCUAAACAUAAUUGUUGGGAACGAGUAAAUAAAUGAGGUCCCAGCUGCACGAGAAAUGGAAUAUUUCCUGCCACAUCUGUAAACAAGGAUGUCACCGUCAUCAGCGACUGCAGCCCUCCACUGUGAGCUGGUGAGCCCUCAGAGAACUCAGCAAGGAGAAGAACACCUGUGAUCUAGCAGCCAUCAACUACAGCCACUCCCUAUGGUGAGCCUUGAGGAAAGGAAGCCCAGAAUGGGAAAAACGCAGGAUCCUGGCCCCAGAGACCCGAGGUGCAAUCAAAGAAAUGAUUUCAGUUGCGUGUACAUUUUCAGUCGGCACUCAGGAUCUUCAGUUGCGGCAUGAGAACUCCUAGUUGCGGCAUAUGGAAUCCAGUUCCCCGACCAGGGAUUGAACUCGGGCCUCCAGCCACUGGACCACUAGGGAAGUGCCCUAAAUGAAUUUCUUUUGAUCUCUAGCAAACUUUGGGAUGCUUCAGAGGGCUUCUGAAACAUCUCAAAGAGAGAUACUAAACUAAUGAGGCUUAUGUAGUGUGUUAAACUACAUGGGAAACAUUGUCACUGAUGAUAAAGCUUCUUAGGUUUUAUCAUGUGGGUAUAUGUUACUAAUACAAAAUUACUAAAAUUUGGAUAUAUCCUAGUAUAUUAUCAAUCAUGAAUCUAAUUCUUGUCUUAAUAUACUAUGUGUCACAGACAUAAUCAAAUUCCCUUGUCAGUUGUAAUUAGAUCUUUAACCAUCCCGUUUUCAGUCUUUUGUCGGUUAUAUAGACAGUUAUUAGUUUGCUCUGAUGCUUUUACAAAACUGAGGAUCUUCAGAAAGAUUCAUAGAAAGGACUUUUUGACAAUAUAGGCUUCUGGUAACUUUCUCUUUUUUUUGGCUGUGCUGAGUCCUCAUUGCUGCGCGGGCUUUCCUCUGGCUGCGGCGCGUGGGGGCUGCUCUUCAUGGGGGCACGGGCUUCGCACUGCGGCGGCUUCUCUUGGGAAGAACAGGCUGUCGCGCAUGUGGGCUUCAGUAGUCGCAGCUCCCAGGCACCAGAGCACAGACUCAGUAUUGUGGCGCACAGGCUUCAUUGCUCCGUGGCGUGGACCAGAUCUGGGAUCACACCCAUGUUUCCUGCGUUGGCAGAUGGAUUCUUCACCACUGAGCCAGCCACCAGGGAAGCCUGGUUUCUGGUAACUUUGAGAUCAUACUACUGAACUGAGUAAGAAAUACCAAAACUCAAAUGGAAAACCCCAUGGCUUUGUAAAACUACUAACAAAACAAUCUAAAUCAACAAGAAUUAAUUGCAUGGGGCUGGAUGACCUGAUAAAUAAAAUUUAUAAUUUUAUGACUUUUUCUCUUAAAUAUUCAUGGCUUUGACUAUUUGUUUUCCAAAGAAGAGUAAACCUUUCCUUUAACGGUAACUACAACAAGCAGCAAGUUGUUAAAGUGUACCUUUGGAGAUGAAGAUAAGACAUUUACUUUUUCCCCUCUACUGAAUCUCUCCAGAGUUUGCCUUCUACAGCAGGCUCCCCUCUGGACUCGUUGGCUUAUCGUGAUCCUGGUUACAACUAGUU
ensembl:lncRNA